rnacentral:rRNA from 1 species
UUCAUACUCGUGGCGAAAAGCUCAGUAACACGUGGCCAAACUACCCUACAGAGAACGAUAACCUCGGGAAACUGAGGCUAAUAGUUCAUACGGGAGUCAUGCUGGAAUGCCGACUCCCCGAAACGCUCAGGCGCUGUAGGAUGUGGCUGCGGCCGAUUAGGUAGACGGUGGGGUAACGGCCCACCGUGCCGAUAAUCGGUACGGGUUGUGAGAGCAAGAGCCCGGAGACGGAAUCUGAGACAAGAUUCCGGGCCCUACGGGGCGCAGCAGGCGCGAAACCUUUACACUGCACGCAAGUGCGAUAAGGGGACCCCAAGUGCGAGGGCAUAUAGUCCUCGCUUUUCACGACUGUAAGGCGGUCGUGGAAUAAGAGCUGGGCAAGACCGGUGCCAGCCGCCGCGGUAAUACCGGCAGCUCAAGUGAUGACCGAUAUUAUUGGGCCUAAAGCGUCCGUAGCCGGCCACGAAGGUUCAUCGGGAAAUCCGCCAGCUCAACUGGCGGGCGUCCGGUGAAAACCACGUGGCUUGGGACCGGAAGGCUCGAGGGGUACGUCCGGGGUAGGAGUGAAAUCCCGUAAUCCUGGACGGACCACCGAUGGCGAAAGCACCUCGAGAAGACGGAUCCGACGGUGAGGGACGAAAGCUAGGGUCUCGAACCGGAUUAGAUACCCGGGUAGUCCUAGCUGUAAACGAUGCUCGCUAGGUGUGGCACAGGCUACGAGCCUGUGCUGUGCCGUAGGGAAGCCGAGAAGCGAGCCGCCUGGGAAGUACGUCCGCAAGGAUGAAACUAAAGAAU